UCCUACGGGAGGCAGCAGUGGGGGAUAUUGCGCAAUGGGGGCAACCCUGACGCAGCAACGCCGCGUGAAGGAUGAAGGUUUUCGGAUUGUAAACUUCUUUUAUUAAGGACGAAACUUGACGGUACUUAAUGAAUAAGCUCCGGCUAACUACGUGCCAGCAGCCGCGGUAAUACGUAGGGAGCAAGCGUUGUCCGGAUUUACUGGGUGUAAAGGGUGCGUAGGCGGCUUUGCAAGUCAGAUGUGAAAUCUAUGGGCUCAACCCAUAAACUGCAUUUGAAACUGUAGAGCUUGAGUGAAGUAGAGGCAGGCGGAAUUCCCCGUGUAGCGGUGAAAUGCGUAGAGAUGGGGAGGAACACCAGUGGCGAAGGCGGCCUGCUGGGCUUUAACUGACGCUGAGGCACGAAAGCGUGGGUAGCAAACAGGAUUAGAUACCCUGGUAGUCCACGCUGUAAACGAUGAUUACUAGGUGUGGGGGGUCUGACCCCUUCCGUGCCGGAGUUAACACAAUAAGUAAUCCACCA
rnacentral:rRNA from 1 species